UACGUAGGGUGCAAGCGUUGUCCGGAAUUAUUGGGCGUAAAGGGCGCGUAGGUGGCCCGGUCAGUCCGUGGUGAAAGCGCGGGGCUCAACCCUGCGUCGGCCAUGGAUACUGCCGCGGCUGGAGCACUGUAGAGGCAGGCGGAAUUCCGGGUGUAGCGGUGGAAUGCGUAGAGAUCCGGAAGAACACCGGUGGCGAAGGCGGCCUGCUGGGCAGUAGCCGAAAGGCUUUCAAGCUGACACUGAGGCGCGACAGCGUGGGGAGCAAACAGG
rnacentral:rRNA from 1 species